CUCAUCAAAUCUACGGCAGACGAUUACUUGUACAAAUGGGAGAUAUCUUUCAUAUAAAAAAAAUUACAAAUAAACUAAGCCGCCGCCCCCUUCCCCUGAAAAAAAUUCUUUACCCAGUAUCAGUGCUAUUAUUUCUCCGGCUUGAAUAUUAGUAAAACACUUGGAAUCAUCGGGUGCACGCAUCGAAAUGCGUGUUUAACUAACUUGAUUAUG
rnacentral:lncRNA from 1 species